rnacentral:tRNA from 1 species
GGGCGAUUAACUCAGCUGGUAGAGUGCCACCUCGACAAGGUGGAAGUCGUUGGUUCGAGUCCAAUAUCGCCCACCA